UUGAAUGCGAACUAUCAUCCUGCUGGUGUGCUCAGGAUACAUCUACUGAUUAACAUACUUCAGAAUUAUAUGAAGGGAAGACCCAAACUGAGGAUGCCAGACACUUGAGGGUCCUGACAAACUUGCAUCCAGUGUUCUUUCUGUUCCUGUACGAGCAUUUGUGGGACCCACCUGGCACAACCUUCCAACUGAGUGUAUUCUAUGAUUUUAUAUUUGAAAAGACCAUUCAAGAACCUCGUGGACCAUCUUCUUUUUUCAUUCAUGUUCUCACUGGAUUGAUCUAGAUACAGGAGCUGUUGUGGAGAGGGUGACACAAAAGUGAGAGUGCACUACCUGCAGGCAGUUAGCAGAGAGCUGUGAAAAAAAGGUGACUUGGAGGAGUGCAGGGUAUAGUGGGGAACAUCUGCUCUUAAAUGCAUGCAAUAAGAUCCAACCUGCUUAGCAUAAGCAAAAACAUGUCAAGUUAAAUAGGGUAGCAGCAGGAUUCAAGGUGGAGCAUGUGGAAGUCAUGAAAAUAAACGAGUGGAGCACUAAUAUUUGUGACACCAGUUGGCUGCUUAACUGGGCUGGUGCAAUCCUGGUGACGUGCCCAUUCAUUAAAAACAUGGAUAAAAUGUGGAAUUCCAGCCACUUAACAUAUUACUUAGAAGAAUAAUUCAAAAUUGUGAUGAGCCUUUAUAAGAAGCUUGGAAUGUACAUUUGUAGGAUUUAGAAGUAAUGCUUUCUCUUGGCUUGUGACCCAAGCACUGUUGUGGGUGAAGCUGGACAGUUAAAAUACUUGGAAAUAAAAGGAAAGCAAAGUCACAAUUAGACAGAGAGCUGGAGUGGAAUUUGAAAGGGAACGAGGAAGAAAUCCUUCCCGGUGCUUUCACAAUAUUUGUUUUCAGGAACAGGAUCAUAUGUUUUCCUGGUAUCUACAGCUCUCCUAGGACUGUAGUGAUUUUUAUUUGUUGUUGAUGUUGUUCAGCCUCUUCUGCUCCCUUUGUUCAAGUUCAGCAAAUCCUAUGUAUACGUUUUGAUUUCAAAACAAAAUAAAACACUAAAAAAACCACCU
ensembl:lncRNA